rnacentral:rRNA from 1 species
GCCAGACUCCUACGGGAGGCAGCAGUGGGGGAUAUUGCACAAUGGGGGGAACCCUGAUGCAGCGACGCCGCGUGGGUGAAGAAGCGCCUCGGCGCGUAAAGCCCUGUCAGCAGGGAAGAAAAUGACGGUACCUGACUAAGAAGCCCCGGCUAAAUACGUGCCAGCAGCCGCGGUAAUACGUAUGGGGCAAGCGUUAUCCGGAUUUACUGGGUGUAAAGGGAGUGCAGGCGGCUUGGCAAGUCUGAUGUGAAAGGCUGGGGCUCAACCCCAGGACUGCAUUGGAAACUGUUAGGCUGGAGUGUCGGAGAGGUAAGCGGAAUUCCUAGUGUAGCGGUGAAAUGCGUAGAUAUUGGGAGGAACACCAGUGGCGAAGGCGGCUUACUGGACGACAACUGACGCUGAGGCUCGAAAGCGUGGGGAGCAAACAGGAUUAGAUACCCCUGUA